rnacentral:pre_miRNA from 1 species
ACACAAAUCAACUGGGGAUCUUGGUAAAAUAUAGAUCCCCAUUCAGUAGGCCUGAGAUUCCACAGUUCCUCUCAAGCUCCCAAGUGAUGCCAAC